GAUGAACGCUGGCGGCGUGCCUAAUACAUGCAAGUAGAACGCUGAAGGAGGAGCUUGCUCUUCUGGAUGAGUUGCGAACGGGUGAGUAACGCGUAGGUAACCUGCCUGGUAGCGGGGGAUAACUAUUGGAAACGAUAGCUAAUACCGCAUGACAACAGUUAUUGCAUGAUAACUGUUUAAAAGGGGCAACUGCUCCACUACCAGAUGGACCUGCGUUGUAUUAGCUAGUUGGUGAGGUAACGGCUCACCAAGGCGACGAUACAUAGCCGACCUGAGAGGGUGAUCGGCCCCACUGGGACUGAGACACGGCCCAGACUUCUACGGGAGGCAGCAGGAGGGGAUCUUCGGCAAUGGACGGAAGUCUGACCGAGCAACGCCGGGUGAGGGAAGAAGGGUUUCGGAGCGUAAAGCUCUGUUGUAAGAGAAGAACGAGUGGGAGAGUGGAAAGUUCAUACUGUGACGGUAUCUUACCAGAAAGGGACGGCUAACUACGUG
rnacentral:rRNA from 1 species